CUGUUCGAGCGUCAUAAUAACCAACUCACCGUAAUGGUGGUCUUGGGGAUGGCCAGCUGGCCUCCCUUAAAGUCAGUGGCGGUGCUCUCAAGCUCUAAGCGUAGUAAUUUUCUCGCUACAGGGUCUUGAUGGUUACUUGCCAGAACCCCAACUCUUAUAAGGUUGACCUCGGAUCAGGUAGGGAUACCCGCUGAACUUAA
rnacentral:misc_RNA from 1 species